CCUACGGGGGACAGCAGUGAGGAAUAUUGGUCAAUGGACGAGAGUCUGAACCAGCCAAGUAGCGUGAAGGAUGACUGCCCUAUGGGUUGUAAACUUCUUUUAUAUGGGAAUAAAAUGUUCCAUGUGUGGGAUUUUGUAUGUCCCAUAUGAAUAAGGAUCGGCUAACUCCGUGCCAUCAGCCGCGGUAAUACGGAGGAUCCGAGCGUUGUCCGGAUUUAUUGGGUUUAAAGGGAGCGUAGGUGGAUUGUUAAGUCAGUUGUGAAAGUUUGCGGCUCAACCGUAAAAUUGCAGUUGAAACUGGCAGUCUUGAGUACAGUAGAGGUGGGCGGAAUUCGUGGUGUAGCGGUGAAAUGCUUAGAUAUCACGAAGAACUCCGAUUGCGAAGGCAGCUCACUGGACUGCAACUGACACUGAGGCUCGAAAGUGUGGGUAUCAAACAGGAUUAGAUACCCCAGUAGUC
rnacentral:rRNA from 1 species